rnacentral:rRNA from 1 species
UACGUAGGUGGCAAGCGUUUGUCCGGAUUUAUUGGGUUUAAAGGGUGCGUAGGCGGUUCCUUAAGUCAGUGGUGAAAUACUUCAGCUCAACUGGAGAGGUGCCAUUGAUACUGGGGAACUUGAGUACUGAUGAGGUAGGCGGAAUGGACGGUGUAGCGGUGAAAUGCUUAGAUAUCGUCCAGAACACCGAUAGCGAAGGCAGCUUACUAAAGAGUAACUGACGCUGAGGCACGAAAGUGUGGGGAUCAAACAGG